rnacentral:rRNA from 1 species
UUUAGACGUUAAUUUUUAUGGCCUGAGUAGUAUUAGUUAUGUUCUUGAAACUUAAAGAAUUUGGCGGUAUCCCAUUCCUUUCAGAGGAAUCUGUCUCGUUAUCGAUAAUCCGCGUUGGACCUUGCUUGAUUUUUUUGGUUUGUAUACCGCCGUUAGUGGUGAGGAUCUUUUGAGAGUUGGAAUUUUCUUUAUUUUUUAUUUAGGUUUAUUUCAGGUCAAGGUGCAGCUUUGUGAUUAAGUUGAUGAUGGAUUACAUUUAUUUUUGGUAUUUGGAUGGUUGAUUGUAAUUUUGAUUUGAAAUUGGAUUUGAUUGUAAUUUGUUGAAGAUUGUAUUGGUGAUUUUUGGUUCUGGGAUAUGU